GACAUAUAACUCGAUUAAAAGCUUUAAAAUAUUGCUCCCAUCCUUACCAAAUAUUGAUUUUGAUUUGGCUUCUAAAAGGUGGUGAGAAGCUCGUAUUUUCUGGAGAGGAAACAGUUGCAGCAAAGAGCGAAGAACAACUCUAAGAAAAUGUAGAACCUAUCUACACUUGAUUUUGAAAAGAAAAAGAAAACUACUGUUAUAAGAUGAAUUGGCAUCGAAGGAAAACAAAACAAUGAAGAAAGGUUGAUGCUUACCUUUUGGGGAAGAAAAGAUGGAUGCGAUGACAGCCUUGCAGGGGUGAAGGAGAAGGCUGCUGUUCACAACUCUUUUAUCUCACUCUCUUGGGCUCUCACUCUUUCUCUAAACUUUUCUUCUCUUCAAAUG
rnacentral:lncRNA from 1 species